rnacentral:rRNA from 1 species
AUUGAACGCUGGCGGCAGGCCUAACACAUGCAAGUCGAACGAGGCGCGGACGGGUGAGUAAUGUCUGGAAAACUGCCUGAUGGAGGGGGAUAACUACUGAAAAGGGUAGAUAAUACCGCAUACCAUCAGAUGUGCCCAGAUGGGAUUAGCUAAUUGGUGGGGUAACGGCACACCAAGGCGACGAUCCCUCGCUGGUCUGAGAGGAUGACCAGCCACACUGGAACUGAGACACGGUCCAGACUCCUACGGGAGGCAGCAGUGGGGAAUAUUGCACAAUGGGCGAAAGCCUGAUGCAGCCAGGCCGCGUGUGUGAAGAAGGCCUUCGGGUUGUAAAGUACUUGCAGCGGGGAGGCGUUACCCGCAGAAGAAGCACCGGCUAACUCCGUGCCAGCAGCCGCGGUAAUUC